rnacentral:tRNA from 1 species
GAGGUCGUAGCGCAGAGGUCGUCGCGCCCAGCUAUCACCUGGGAUGACGCCGGUUCGAAUCCGGUCGGCCUCGCCG